rnacentral:rRNA from 1 species
AUUGAACGCUGGCGGCAUGCCUUACACAUGCAAGUCGAACGGUAACGGGCCUUCGGGUGCCGACGAGUGGCGAACGGGUGAGUAAUACAUCGGAACGUGCCCGAUCGUGGGGGAUAACGAGGCGAAAGCUUUGCUAAUACCGCAUACGAUCUACGGAUGAAAGCAGGGGACCGCAAGGCCUUGCGCGGACGGAGCGGCCGAUGGCGGAUUAGGUAGUUGGUGGGAUAAAAGCUUACCAAGCCGACGAUCUGUAGCUGGUCUGAGAGGAUGAUCAGCCACACUGGGACUGAGACACGGCCCAGACUCCUACGGGAGGCAGCAGUGGGGAAUUUUGGACAAUGGGCGCAAGCCUGAUCCAGCCAUGCCGCGUGCAGGAUGAAGGCCUUCGGGUUGUAAACUGCUUUUGUACGGAACGAAAAGCCUUCUUUUAAUACAGGAGGGUCAUGACGGUACCGGAAGAAUAAGCACCGGCUAACUACGUG